rnacentral:piRNA from 1 species
UGCAGGCACAAGUAUGAAGAU